UGGGAGGUGAUGAUUAUUUCCCCCAAAUGAUCGAAGCUGAAUACACCGAGCGAUUUUUCUCUCAAUAUAUUUUGGGAGUCCAAGCCAGAUUUCUGAUCUAU
rfam:Ricinus communis cultivar Hale ctg_1100012295095, whole genome shotgun sequence.